rnacentral:lncRNA from 1 species
AAAUUAAAUAUGCAGUAGAAUAUAUAGGAAAAUGUCAAUUCAUCUAGAGCAAGUUAAGAUGCACUUAAAAAUAAAAGCAGGAGUAAUAAUUUGGACAGAGGAAGGAACAGAGACAUAUAUUGGUAUCUUCAGUAAUACAAGUAAAUUAGGAUGGUAACAAAAAUGAAAGAAAGUUAAGUAACUUGGAGAGGAACAACACGAAACUUUACUUGAAAAAAUCUUCAGGAUUAGGAGGGCAAUCAUAAUUUAUUGUUGGACAAUCAUAGUUCACUUUCAGAUGAUAAAAUAAUUACCACAUAUGUGCUGAAGGCAAGAAAUGAGGUUUGGUAUAAACUUUUUGAAUCAGAAAUUUCUGGAAACCUGAAACUUCUUGUAGUGAACUAAUUCCUUGUGACGACACCUGGAGAAGUAGACAAAAAAUUAUUAGACGAUUGCAAGAGAUAUAUAUAUAACAUGCGAUGUAAUCAAAUGUAAGCAACAAACUACCUUUGAUGACUCGGUGAUAAAUGAAGAAUGGAAACUGUCUUUCUUGCUUAAAUCUUGAGCGACUUUUUCAAAUCACUAAAUAAAUAACAUAUGCUGAUGCAGUAUUGUAUCCAAAAUAUUUUGAAUUUGUCCCAACAACUCUUUAUUUAAUGAAAGUCAUAGAAUAACUAACUUCAUCACCUUCAUAACAUUAAUUGAUGAAGUGUGCCAGCAAAAAGUAUGAUGGUCUAACCUAUAGCAAGCUUCUGUGUGAAAUUGAAGAUGAUAUUAAAACAUAGACAUUGAUAUCUUAACAAAUUUAGAGUGAUAUGUAUUGAUUUUUGUUUUACUAUAUAGAAAUUGGAAUAUACAGAUGCAACAUUGAAAGUUGAAAAGAGGCAAAAAGUGUUUCUACCACUAUCACAGACAAUCAGCAAAAACAUUAGAGAGAUUCAACAUUGAAAGCAUGAAAACAAAGAGAACGAAAAAAACACAUCAGAAGAGGGAGAUGAUACUUCCCAGCCUGAAAGAGAAAGAAAUCACAGAGAGUUUGAAAUGAUAAUUUGAUUCCAAAAGAAUGGAAUAAAUUCUCAAACUUUUGCAUCUUUCUUCUAUAACUAAUCAGGCGGGGAGGGGCGGGACGGGGAGGGGAAGGGAUUAGAGUUCUCAUUAUAAACAACUUAAAAGUACCUAUUUCAAGAAAGACAUUAUAAUGUCUUUUGUGAAAUCUGCGGGACAUGAUCAAUAGUAUUAUCAAAAUGAAGCAUCAUAAACCGCCAAGUAGUAUAUAAGAGACUCCAAGAAUCUGGUUGCGGAUACAUUCUUGAAAGCAUCACAUAUAUUAUAUAGUUUUCUCAAGUUCAUCCGUCAGUAGUAAUGUGAUUAUAUUCAAAUAUUGUCUCACUGCUGUCAUAAAUUACCUCUGUAUGAAACGUGCAAUUGAAUCCCAACAUGGAGCAAACAAAUACUGAUUUUCACGUGUCAAUGCUUGAUUUCUCCGCUCUUGUCCUAACCUUUUCCAGUACAUUAACUGGAACAGUUUUCAUCUCACGAAAGCCUUGUAUGAUGUAUGUCUAACUUAUUUCUUCCUGGGUCAUCUUGUCAAGUUGUCACGUCAACUCCCAUUUAGUUAUCUGCUAAAAGAAAGCAAUAAUUUAAAACUGCUUAGGAAUUAGCUUUCAAUUCAUCAUGAAUUUACAAAAGGAUACAUAGAACGGGCCAACAUGUUAUUUUGUUUACACCAUGUUAUUUUGUUUAGUUAAAUAUGUAGUAAAGAUCAAGUGUGCUUAUUUACUCUUCAAAAUAUUACACCAUGGCUACUAUGACAACAUCUAAAAAAUUAUAUUAUGUGCAUCAUAGUCUCUUAGUUAUAAUUACAUACACUUUCAAUGUUGGGGAUCUAAACACAUCUUCUAUUACUGAUGCAAGCUUUUUCAUCUAUCCCCUCGUUUGAAAUCAUAAAAUUCACGCGAUGGGAACUUUUGUAUAUUGUCUAUCACUCUAGAAGGAAAUUCUACAAAUGUAAAUUAAUUAGAGGUUGUAGCUCAGAAACACCUAAGGCGUAAAAUUUACUUGCAUGAGAGCAUUGAAAAAGACAGAAUAAAAUAUAUCUUGAACUGAAAAAAAUAAUACAGUGGUAUCAAUUAAUUAGUAGCCUCCUUUUAGGUAUGGUUAGCUCUUUUUUAUCUUACGGUCAUGGGUUACCCCAACCAUAGGAAGAGAGGAUUCAUCAUGUCCGUAAAUACAUUCUUGAUUUUGUUCUCUUGUUACCUCUAUUUGUGGGUUUCAUUAUGUCUACAACACCAGAAAAAUUGAUAAAAAGAAAGCGUCAGAGAAGGUAAAUUUACCUUGGCUUAAAAUGGGAGUACCUGAAAGUAUAAUAAUUAGAACAGUUAUAUGAUCCAAGUGCUUCUAAAAAAGUAGAUCACCAACUUUUUGAGCUACUAAAGGCUAUUUUUAUGUAACACCAAGGAUAAACUGAUAACUUUGCAAUAAAAGGAUAAGAUUAGCAUGAGAAAUUCUAGCUCAAAUGGUCGUUACAAUACCAUUACACUCAUUACACUAUGUAGGGGGUUACUAUGCUAGAAACAUUUUUUCUUAAAUCUUAAUUUUAAGUUGCUGAAUGAAAGAUCCAAAAAAAAUUGGCGUUGGGUGAGAAUGUGAUCAUAUUUGUGUAAUUGGUCAUAUAGUAAAUAAUUAUUUUUGGAUGAAGCUAAUCUACUAAAAAUACAAAAUGAAACAUACCUCAAACUAAAAAAGAAAUUAACAGAGUGACAUCAAUUAAUUAGCUGCCUCCUCCUAUGUAUGGUUGACUCUUCUUGAUUAUGCAGUCAUGGGCUAACUCGUCCGUAGAAAGAGGGGGCUUCAGCAUGCCCGUAAAUGAAUUAUUGAUUUUGAUCUCUGGUAAUAUAUGUUUGUGGGUUUCAUAAUGUCUACAGCACCUGAAAAUCUGAUUUAAAAAAAAAUUAAAAAGAAGAAAAGUGACAGAAGAAGAUUAACUCACCUUGCUUGCUUGAGAUGGGGAACCUGCAAGUAUGAGUAUUCAGAAAAGUUAAAUGAACCAGUGCUGCUUAAAAAGUAGACUACCAACAUUUUUAAAGAAGCAAGACUAUUUUUAUACAAUACUAAAGAUAAACUUAUAUAUUUUCCAUUGAGGAUAUGAUUAGCAUGCAAAAUUGAUCUCAACCGGAGGGAAAGAAAAUAAAAGUAUAAAUUAGCUACACAUGAAGUUAUGCUAAUGCAAUGCAGAAUAUUACUUGGUUGUGCAAACUUUUUUUGUUGUAGAUACAUACAUAUAAAAAAGCCAAAUAAAUAAAGCAUCUUAUCCAUAAAUAAAACAUCUUGUCCUAAAGAUAUUCAUCAAGAGAGAGGAAAAUCUUAUACAACAGACAAUUAGUUAGUUGGAUAACGAAACUUAUGAUGACUACAAUUUUAGACAGUUAGAAGAACGGAUAAUUAUUAUAAAACAGAAGGAAAAAACCAUAUACAUCAUACGAUUAGUUACAAGGAUUUUCAGCAUGCUCUCAAAAUGGAAGGAACUGUGGAACUCGCUCUAUGUAAACAAAGUCCAACCACCAUGUACCUCAUUUAAUUUGUCCUUUUAUUGAUUUAUCUGUAUCAGUUUAAGAGUUUGACUAAAUAAGAUAAGUACACACAACAGACCCUCAUUGUCAUUCUUCUGAAUUAGCGAAAUAGAAAAUCUCGAAAACUAUUCUGCUAAUCUUUAACUACAUCCUAGAGAUAUGAGCAUGAAAUAACUUUAAGAUCAAAAUCUCACAUGAAAGGGGAAAAGGGCAAUAAAGAACUUACCAGGCGAAGACUCAGAAACUCUGAGUGCGCAUAUCUCAUAAGGUUGACAACCAGAUUAGUCGAGAUUUUUUAUGAGAGUAACAUCAAGGUGUAGAAGUUCAUUUAGUUCAAUUGAUUAAGUUGACUUGCAACAUGUGGUGUAGUUAUUACACUCGAGAAGGAUCAUAUUUCCUAAGUCCUAGUUGGUGCCUUAUGCACUGGGCAUCUCUAUAAUUUUACGAUAAUUAUUGAAGUAAUUUUCAAGAACCUAAAAUGGUAGUAUACUUUUAUUAACAUUCAAUGCAAAUCAAAGUACACCAAAUCAUCAAGAGAAUAAGUGUCACACCAUUUGGUUUCACAUCUUAUUAUGCUCUAGGGGAUCGGAAUUUCUGCAAAAACAUAUAUAAGUAUUGGAGAAUCAUAAUGAUAAUACCACACAUAAAUUGAUCACAAAUACAGUUCAGUAGAAGAAAAUGUUGUACCUUGUAGAUGGGAAUUUUGAAGAACACCUAUGAGAAAAGGGAAAAAAAUACAAGAAAUUAUUCAGUUGACUCAGGCAUAUGAUCAAACACUUUGGGUGCGCAACUUUACUUCGUUUACUUCAAUGUCACAUCAUCACCAAAGAACUUAGGUGAAAAAAUACCAAAAAAGAAAGAAAGAAAUGAAGUAGGUACCUCAUCACAGAGCAAACUUCUUAAGAAGCAAAGAAAAUAAAAACAUAACUAAAAUCAGAAUAUACAUGUCGAGGACCAUUCAACCUUUGAUUCAAAGAAUUGUGCUUAGCCCCCUGCCCAUGAAACGACUCUACUGUAAUGGUUUUAAUAAAUCUCCUACUGCAGUUCGCCUUGGACCAGAUCCAGAACUGUUCUCAACAGUUUGUGUAGCCAUAAAUCCUAUUGUAUUCAUUGAGAUAAAUUUGUAUGAAGGAGAAGAUAGAGAGAAAAGGGGGUGGGGUAAUACUUAAUAGGACACCAAAUAAUAUAUGUUAUGAAGAAAAAUGACAAAAUAUAUUUGAAUUAGUUAGUCAGUUGACAUUUUGACAAAAACAUUGGUAGAUAGGCAACAUGCAGCACUGAUAGUGAAGUUGGGAAUAUGAAAAGCAAUGUUGAUUAAUAAUGAGCAAAGUAGUUAAACACACUUUUCUUAGUCAUUAGACACUAACCUUUAAACUUAAUGAAACAUCAGAGAUGGUUGUUUUCCUCUCCCCUGAAAAAAAAGAAGCAGAAAAUUUGUUAGGAGAAAAUGACAAAUCUAACCUUUUAACGGUUUGAAGUGUAGCAAAUAUUUAGAAAUAAUAUUGAACAGUUGCAAAGAGAGUAGUUUGCUAAAUGAAGAAAGUUGUGUUGCUCUGACUCUCUAAAAAUGUUACGGCACUCAUGUCGGAUCCUCCACAAAAGCAUUGUUUUUGAAGUAUCUGACAUGCAUCUUUAAAUAUUUUUGAAGAGUCCGAGCAACAUCGGUUGAAAGAAGAAUCAAAUAGCUACAAUUCCAAAGAUUAUUAAAAUACAACUCGUUGACUUAGUCUUCUGAUUCAAUUGUUAAAUUCUGGUGCUUUGUGUAAGUGCUUCAUGAUAAGUUCAUUUGAGACUUUCAUCAAACACAUUGUGGACAGUAAAUUUCAUAAAACACAAGAAAUUACAAACAUAUUAGAAAAACGUUGAAUUGGAGUGCUUACCACUGAGAAAAUUAAGAACCAACAUACGAGAAAAAAGGUCGAAUUGGAGAGAAAUACAUCAUCUAAGAAAGUGUCCCAAAUAUUUUUAAAGAUAGACUAAGAAAUAAAAUACUAAAAUAAAAAAGGCAUCCAUAAAUUAGAUCCAAACCUAAAAAACUAAGAAAUAAUACGCUAAUUAGUUGGAACAUUUCAGCAAUAUCGUGAAAUUUCUGGUUCAAACACAUGCAAAACUAAAAUAGAACACCUAUCCAGAAAAGCCCAAUGAAGAAGCUUCAAUGAGACGAUUCAAAUAAAGGAGAAAGACGAAUGAAGCAAAAUUUGACAAAAAUAGAGAAAGUAGUAGGACUAACCAUGACUUCUGAUGUGUUUAACCAAAUUUGCCUCUAGUGAAUUUACAGAGAGCUGUAACGGCAAAGAAGACUGACUUCAGAGGAAAUUUGGUUGAGGUGUGGAGGAGUAAUGGCAAGACACCUCUUUCAAAGUAUCUACACGUAGCUUUGUAAACUUGUUGUCUAUAAAGUAUGAUUAUUAAAGCCUCUUGUACAUGCAAUUAACUAAUGCCGUGUUAGUCCUUUGUUUUUGACUUAUAUAAUAUACAAUAUACAAUACAAUGUACAAUUAACUAAUACCGUGUUAGUCCUUUUGUUUCAAGAAACAAAACAUUGUACUUUAAGUGGAAUACACGUGUUUGUGUGUGAGAGAAGGCAAAAGC